UCUAGAAGGAUCCCAAAGAUCAAUGGUACUAAAAGGCAUAUUCCACAAGUGAGAAUAUGCAGAGGAAACAACAUCAAAGAAGAAUCAGGGAAAUAGCCUGUUAGCAAAACAUUUCUACUUUCAAGAAAAUAUUUUUGUUUGUAAUCACUCUACUUUUCUUGCCUAAUUCAUUCAAAGAAGAAACAUUUCAGCCUUAGUGGCAUCACAAUGGACUAUCUUGGAAACAAGUGUGACACUCAGAAGAGGCAAAGAUUCUGGAACCCUUUCUCAGAGGUCUGCAGAAUGAGCAUUUUAAAAUCUGGCUUUGGGAGAAGAGUUGAUCCACAGAAAUCUCUCUCUUUUACAGAGCUGUCCACAGAAUGAAAGAGCUGGAGAAACACUGCUCUUCAACUUCCAACCAUUGGAUCUUGUUGUGCCUUGUCUGUUAGACAAAGAGCUCCAUCUUCUGCCUGAAAGCCACACUUAGAAGGCAGUGGUGCACAGAGGGAAGAGUUGAACCAGCUGAGAAGAAAGAAAACUAGCUUUCCGAGAGACUUGAAGAUUCAGUGAAUUGAAGGAAACAAAAAAACCAACUGAUUUGAUCUCUGUGGUGGAUCUUGGCCAGGCCAGAAGGAGACUGUGAGUGAGAGAAAUCAAAGACUGUAUCUUGCUAUGAAGAGUUCCACUGAAGCAUUUCUUGUGGAUCAAGACAAUAUAGUAGCUUCCUGAGUUGUUGUGCUAAAAAAUAACGAAAUGAAGUAACUCAGAAGAAAUGAGUCUUGAGGAGGGGUUUGAAAAAAGAGAAGGCAGAAUUAAAUUUCAUGUUGCCUAUGGAGAUUUGAUUUCGCCCUUCAAGGGAGUUGAAUUCCAAAUAUAGGACUUCGCAAAUUUUUCCAAUCACUUUGCUUAGUGCAACAAUUACAAGACAUUUAUAAUAAAACUGUCAAACACAGCUCAAUUCAAAGCAUAUCCAGGAUGCACUUAGUUUGGAGGAUGGAGAAAAGAAGAGGACAAUGCAUUAGCCCCAAACAGUUUGCUUACAAGAACAUCCUUCCAGUACUCUAUAUUACUAUGGGGUGGAAACAUGAGGUCAGAUUUGCAGCUGAUGUAAUUUGAUACUAUUCCAGAAAAUACACCCAUUUGCCCCAGCUGAGUAUCUGGGCAGUGGUAUCAAUUCUGAAUCUGAGACAUAAAUCAAUAAAUGUU